GACGAACGCUGGCGGCGUGGAUUAGGCAUGCAAGUCGGACGGUAGGGCUUUAUCGUAAGAUAGAGUUUGAGAGUGGCGAACGGGUGAGUAACACGUAGGAAUCUACCCUUAAGACGGGGACAACCCAGGGAAACUUGGGCUAAUACCGGAUGAGAGUGCGAGAGAUUGCAUUUAAAAGGAUGGCGAAAGUUGUCGCUUAGGGAUGAGCCUGCGGUCUAUUAGUUAGUUGGUGGGGUAAGAGCUCACCAAGGCGAUGAUAGAUAGGCGGCCUUAACGGGUGGUCGCCCACACUGGGAUUGAGAUACGGCCCAGACUCCUACGGGAGGCAGCAGUCGAGAAUAGUCUACAAUGGCCGGAAGGCUGAUAGUGCGACGCCGCGUGAACGAGGGAGCCCUUCGGGUGUAAAGUUCUUUUAUACGUGAGCAGUGCCCUUUAUAUGAAUAGUAUAUAUAGAGGGAUAGUAGUAUAGGAAUAAGCAACGGCUAACUCCGUGCCAGCAGCCGCGGUAAACAUA
rnacentral:rRNA from 1 species